rnacentral:lncRNA from 1 species
GUGCAGCCUCUCUUGAAAUUGCUUCUCCUUAAGUGCCACUUCUUCCAUCCUCUUGCCAAUCAGCUUGAAUUGGUCUUCAAUUACCUUCUCCCUCACCUUCAGGCUCUUAUAUUUACUGUCAUACACUUGAAACCUUGCUAGUCUUUUCUUAUAAUCCUGCACUUUAAAUUCAAGCUCUUGAAGCCGCUUUUCUUUUGCUU